AAAUGAAUAGACGGGGACCCGCACAAGCAGCGGAGCGUGUGGUUUAAUUCGAGGCUACGCGAAGAACCUUACCAGGGUUUGACAUGUCGGUGGUAGGAAUCCGAAAGGUGCCCGACCCUUCGGGGAGCCGUCACAGGUGCUGCAUGGCUGUCGUCAGCUCGUGCCGUGAGGUGUUAGGUUAAGUCCUGUAACGAGCGCAACCCACGUCGUUAGUUAUAUGUGUCUAACGAGACUGCCGGUGAUAAACCGGAGGAAGGUGUGGAUGACGUCAAGUCAGCAUGGCCUUUAUAUCCUGGGCUACACACACGCUACAAUGGCCGGUACAAUAGGUUGCGAAACCGCGAGGUGGAGCCAAUCCUCUAAAGCCGGUCUCAGUUCGGAUUGUAGGCUGCAACUCGCCUGCAUGAAGUCGGAGUUGCUAGUAAACGUGCGUCAGCACAGCGCGUUGAAUACGUUCCCGGGUCUUGUACACACCGCCCGU
rnacentral:rRNA from 1 species